CCUGUUUCCCCAGCCCUUCCCGGGCCCUGGGUCCAGUCCCUCCCAGUGUGAGAGGUGUCUUUCUACAAUGGAAAUCUGAUUAUGUUGCUGCUCUGCUCAGAGCUCUCCAGCGGUGUCCAUCCUGCAGGAGGGAGUUCAGGACCUCAUGCUGCUGUUUUCCUGCAGGGCCCCCCACACCUGCUGGGACUGACUUGCAAACACCUCCUUAUCCCCAAGAGCAUCUGUGCCCCACCCAGGCCAGAGCCUUUGCCUACCCCCACCCCCACUUCCAUGGAACCUUGAAGACCCUGUUGUGGGGUAGGCACUGGGCACCACCUCCCAAUGUCUAAACUAGGCUGUGGGUUCUGCGAUGACCUGGUCUCUGCAGGGCCAGCAGCACCUGGCCAGGGCUGGUACUCAAAUGCACUUUACUAAUGAAAUGAUAAACCAGUGAGCCAACGUUUUCACUCUGCUUUCUCAAAAGAUCAAUUUGUAAAUUGAAGUUUGAUUUGGAAGUGUAUUUAUAUUGAAAGAGGGAUGUGCUUGUGAUUUCUGAUUUAAAGUUACCUCUUGUG